CAGCAGCCACGGUAAUACGUAGGGUGCAAGCGUUAAUCGGAAUUACUGGGCGUAAAGCGUGCGCAGGCGGUUAUAUAAGACAGAUGUGAAAUCCCCGGGCUCAACCUGGGAACUGCAUUUGUGACUGUAUAGCUAGAGUACGGCAGAGGGGGAUGGAAUUCCGCGUGUAGCAGUGAAAUGCGUAGAUAUGCGGAGGAACACCGAUGGCGAAGGCAAUCCCCUGGGCCUGUACUGACGCUCAUGCACGAAAGCGUGGGGAGCAAACAGGAUUAGAUACCCCUGUAGUCCCUGUAUCUUAUAC
rnacentral:rRNA from 1 species